UACGUAGGGAGCAAGCGUUGUCCGGAAUCAUUGGGCGUAAAGCGCGCGUAGGUGGCUUCGUAAGUCCGUUGUGAAAGUCAAAGGCUCAACCUUUGAAAGCCGAUGGAUACUGUGAAGCUAGAGUACGGAAGAGGCGAGUGGAAUUCCUGGUGUAGCGGUGGAAUGCGCAGAUAUCAGGAGGAACACCAAUGGCGAAGGCAGCUCGCUGGGACGUUACUGACGCUGAGACGCGAAAGCGUGGGGAGCAAACAGG
rnacentral:rRNA from 1 species